rnacentral:rRNA from 1 species
GUGGGGAAUUUUGGACAAUGGGCGCAAGCCUGAUCCAGCAAUGCCGCGUGCAGGAUGAAGGCCUUCGGGUUGUAAACUGCUUUUGUACGGAACGAAAAGCCCUGGGUUAAUACCCUGGGGUCAUGACGGUACCGUAAGAAUAAGCACCGGCUAACUACGUGCCAGCAGCCGCGGUAAUACGUAGGGUGCGAGCGUUAAUCGGAAUUACUGGGCGUAAAGCGUGCGCAGGCGGUGCUGUAAGACAGGCGUGAAAUCCCCGGGCUCAACCUGGGAACUGCAUCUGUGACUGCAUUGCUGGAGUGCGGCAGAGGGGGAUGGAAUUCCGCGUGUAGCAGUGAAAUGCGUAGAUAUGCGGAGGAACACCGAUGGCGAAGGCAAUCCCCUGGGCCUGCACUGACGCUCAUGCACGAAAGCGUGGGGAGCAAACAGGAUUAGAUACCCUGGUAGUCC